CCCGCCCCGCGUGACGCCUGGAGCCCUGCACCCCCCCCCCCGUGACGCCCGCCCCGCGUGACGCCUGGAGCCCUGCACACACACCCCCGUGACGCCCGCGUCGCAGCCGCGCAGACACCCUCGGAGGCAGCGCACUCCUUCCGGGCCACGCGGCGGCCUCCGGGUCAGAGGUCCGUUGCCUUCUCCUGCCACGCGCGGUUCCCCGCGGUCGGGGACGGAGGCUGAGUCAGGACGGCCCGGCGUCCCCGCUGGAGUUUGUGCUGUUUUAGGGAAGUGACUUGAAAGUUGCUCAGUUGGAGCCGCUUCUGGCUCGUCCCGGAAUUAGACGAAGAGGAGGAUCGUUUCCCACGUGGUUUCUGCAGCUGUCCCCGUGUUCGCACCGGAAACUGCGCUCGUCAUCUCAUCGGGCUCAGAUGCGGGACCCGGGGCGGCCUGUGGAGCGCGACGGUGGAAACCCGAAUCGUCGCCCGGCUGUCUGCGCUGACCCACGCUCGUGGUCCCCGGGACACGUGGAAGGGACUGAGUUGACCCAGCACAAGUACUUCCCUCCGCGCUGGUGUCUGCUUCCCCCGCACGGCGCCGCCUGCCGGGAUUCGAUCUUGAGACGGAAGGACACGAUGACGACCUGUGUUCCAGCGGAGGAGUUAGCAGCUACUACAAAACAGAGCUUUGAAAACCUGUUGCGAAGCCCCCAAAUUUCAAUAUAAAUGAUUUGACAGGGGCGGGGGCGGUGGCUCACGCCUGUAAUCCCAGCACUUUGGGAGGCCGAGGCGGGUGGAUCACCAGGUCAAGAGAUCGAGACCAUCCUGGUUAACAUGGUGAAACCCCGUCUCUACUAAAAAUACAAAAAAUUAGCCGGGCAUGGUGGCGCGUGCCUGUAAUCCCAGCUACUCAGGAGGCUGAGGCGGGAGAAUUGCCUGAACCCAGGAGGCGGAGGUUGCGGUGAGCCGAGAUCGCGCCAUUGCACUCCAGCCUGGGUAACAAGAGCGAAACUCCGGCUCAAAAACUAAAUAAAUAAAUAAAUGAUUUGACUGCGAGGGCCCGGUGUGGGUGUGAGGGCACAGAGGAGGAAGCCCUCAGCCCCUCUCCCCGGGAGCUUACCCUGCCUGGGGGCUCCCCUUUCGUCCCUCUUGCUAUGUCAUGAAAGGUGACUGUGUAGCUGAGACUCAGGCCGGAGGAAGGACGUGCCCGCGCCUGGGGCAGGGCUGUGCAGUUGCAUCGUGUGCCUCCUGUCAUGGAGGGCCGUUCUUGGCACUGUCUAGAAAAAUUUCCUGGCGUCCCUGGAGCCACAGGGAACGCAUCACCCAGCCCUGCCCCUGGGCCCCGCAGGUUGAUCUCUCUGUGGGAUCCCCGUCUUUGAAAGGAUGCUGGAAGGGCAGCUGUUUCUCUGCACUUACUCCAGACCCUGAAAAGAUACUGAAGGAGACCACACGUGUUCUGGCGAGCACUGGCCACGUGAGCUCCAUGCAGCUGUGGCCAAUCAAACGAAAUUCUCAGGGCGAUGUCCAGGAGUGCAACCAGCAUGAAGAGGGGUUGCUGGCAGGGCUCCAUCAUCGUGCAGGACAAGGAGGGAGUUCCGGGUUAACCCCGGGGGUCCUGCCCAGGUAAACACCAGGCUCGGCUUUGUGACCUCAGGGUCCUCAGACUCCUGUCAGGGUGAACCAUCGAAUUUCAGUGUCUCAAAGCAAUAAAGACAAAGCGAAAUCAAUCAUGUAAUGACCACUUCAUUCAGUGGCCAUUGGAGAUGUUUAUUAUGACAGCGCUCCGGCUGGACACGCAACCACGUGACGCUAACGUGUCAUAGAAGGUCUCUGCUCUGAGUACUUUGGCUCGUUUUAAAUAGCAGAAUUUUAAAAAAUACACACAAGGCUGGCUUUGCAAUGUUUAAAAUCAUUGUAGCAACCACCAGGUUGGACACAAGUAAAAAAGUUCAGAAACUGGU